rnacentral:tRNA from 1 species
UGCGAGACCAUUAUCUUUCAUUUAUGGCCGCAAUCCUGUCACCUUAGGUCGAUCGGUACCUCAGUUUUAUAUCUCUAAAGGAUAUUUGAAUUCAGUCCUAAACUUGUCUAGGUCACACCCAACAGGGUACUCCUGGGCCAUUAGCUCAGGUGGUUAGAGCGCACCCCUGAUAAGGGUGAGGUCCCUGGUUCAAGUCCAGGAUGGCCCAUUCGGUGUUGGGGGUAUAGCUCAGUUGGUAGAGCGCCUGCUUUGCAAGCAGGAUGUCAGCGGUUCGAGUCCGCUUACCUCCACUGAUCCCCUCCUAACGAUAUUUUAAGGAGAUUUAUUGAUGGUUGUGAUCUAGUAUUUGUUCUCAAACUAAGAACCUAGCUUCUUGUCAUUCCAACUUAUUUUUGGUUGAUAAGACGCUGGGCUCCCUGCAAUAUAAGUUGCAGAGAACUUCAGUAGAACCUUGACAACUGCAUAGUGAGUCUGGAAAAGAAUAAAGCAUCUCAUGGAUACAUUAUUUUUAGAUCAGUUUCGAUUUUUAUUUAAAUAGAAUUCUAAAUUGGUUUAAAUUAAAUAGUGUUCAAUUCUUGAGCAGAGCCGAGACUUCUAAAAUG